AAAAAUGGUGAAAAUUAUUUUUUUUCCUGGCUGUUGAUAGUAUUUUCUGAUUUAUGGAGUGAUAAAAGGAGAUAUCCAAAUUUCCCUCUGUAAAAACCUUUUAAUUUAAAAUGUCCGAAAAAUUAAACGAGAAUUUUGAACGUGACUUCAUCCAAUAUUCAGAUUUUUGUUCUAGAAAUGUAUGCAAAUUAGUGCAUAUUUAAUUAGAUAAUGCCUCAUUUGCAUAUUUAAACAUAACAUUUUAGAAAACUUGUAAUGCAAAAAAUGUUUGCAAUUUUUUAUGUAAUCAAUCAGCUGGGGAAGUUUGGUGAUAUCUAUUAGUUAUUUUUUUUAUUCACGGGGUGUCUCGCCUUAAACAAAACGAAUUAGCUCACAGACUGACAGCAGCUUCAUUGUAAUAAGAGAUUAUGGUACUGAUGAGGCAGUGUUAGGAAUUCUACCUUCCUUUGUCACAUUCAUCUGUCUAACCACAACACCCCACAGCACUCAUGCCCAGAUGCCCACACCAAAGAAACAGCUGGCUCUCUCCACUCCCUCUGGCCUCCCACCAUUACAUCACAGUUGGACGAGAACUUUCAUUGCACCUCUGUCUGUUUUCCAUGUGUACAUUUUGCUAUAGCAAUCUCAAGCAACAAUAGUUUCGCAAGGCCUGUAGUUUUUGUCCUUGAAAACCGAGCAAGCAUCCCUCUCUGAGCGUUGGUGGUGUCAAGGUUGGAUUGAGGCUUUUGUUUACGACAGUCCAAAGGGAGCUCACCUAAUUAACACUCUUUGUCCUCACUGACUCAUUGAAAAACUGCUCCCCCCCCAAGAUUUCACAGCGUAAUAAGAACCCUGGAAGCUCUUCACACACUAUUUAGGCCUUUCUUCCUCCUCACAUGGUAGAUUUUCUGCACUGUUGGCAAGAAUUGCUUCGCCCCUCACCCACAACCCUUCCAGCAAUAUUCAUAAGGAUGUAUCAAGGAUGGCUCCUUCAUUUUUUGAUGAGCUUAGACCUUGGAGUGUUGUCAUCAUUUUUUUUGUUGUUGUCACGGCUUGUCUUUUUUUGUGGGAAAGGCAUACUAAUACUUCAACAGGCUGUUUUAACCAAAGCAUCAGAGAGAGAGAGAGAUAGUGGCGAAAGAUGGUUCUGAAUAUAAGAAUCAUGAAACCUUUUGAGGCGUCUAGGCUAGACACCUCCUCAGCAAUGAACACUAGAAUGAGAUGGUCUAGUAAGUCAUCAAGGUUUCUGCCCAUGUGGUCACAGCAUGAAAAUACUGUUAAAGGGUUAGUUCACCCAAAAAAUGAAAAUUAUCCCAUGAUUUACUUACCCUCAAGCCAUCCUAGGUGUAUAUGACUAUCUUCUUUCAGACUAACACAAUCGGAGAUAUAUUUAAAAAUAUCCCUGGCUCCUCCAAGCUUUGUGAAGGGGGGACCACUUUUUGAAGCCAAAAAAAAUUCAGGAUGUGAAACAAAGGCUGAUGUUCAAAUUGAGAUGGUGUCACAAUAAAUCAGAUCCUCCCUCAAAAUUGGGCUUUCAUUAGAACCUCAAGCGAUCCCAUUGGCUUAAAGAACUUUUAAUGGGUACUCUUUUAGUGCCUGAUUACAAUUCCUACAAAAUCACAUUACAUUUGUAGUUUUAUCUACUUUAUAAUGACUAUUAAUGUUUAUUGUAGUUAACUUUCUUACUAGCAUAGCAUAAAGAUACACAAUUUGUAUCUUACUACAUAUUUACAUCGAUCUUUAAUGCAAUUACCCGCAUUAAAUAUCCAGAUAUUUCAGUUAUUACAAGAAUGAUGUAAUGAUGUUCAAUUAUUUGAUUAUUGUUAUUAUUAUUAUUUAUUAGCAGUCAAUCAAGUGAAAGAAUUUAUUAUUUCCAGUUUGUUUUAUUGCAACUAUAUAGUAUAUACUAUAGUUUUAUUAUAAAUAUAUAGUAAGACAUUUUAUACUUAUUUUAAAUGAAUGUUACUUUGUAUAACUAUUAACUGAUAACUGAUACAGACUCUAUUUUGAGGGAGGACCAGAAGUGCAGGGAUGAAAGGGCCGGAGCGGUAUGUCAUUGUGGCCGAGGGGCGAGUCUGUGUUGGUCUCCUCUCUGCACUGUGCUCUUAUGUAAGGAGCUCUGGCAGGGCAAACAGUUAUUCCCCACACUGCCCUAUCUUCUGCUCUCCACCCCUCCUCCUCUUCCCCUCUCAUGUCAUAACUACCCUUCAUUAUUGUUUAUGUUCUCUAAGCGUGCUGUUUAAAAUACUCGAUGAUAUCAUUGUUUAUAUAGUGUAUGAUUCAUGCAGAAAGAUAUGUUAUAUCUUGUGUGUUUUUUUGUUAAUAAAUAUUUGUCCUCGGUUAUGUUGUCUUACAUUUCAGGAGGAUAUAAUGCCCAAAUACACUUCUAACAUAGGACCAUGUCUGUUAGUAGGCUAGUGUCACAAGGCACACAGAUCAGACAAGAGCAUCUACGCAGUAUAAAGAAAACAUGCUUUGGGUUUUAUUGGAAAUUUUUUUUAUAGCUUCUUGGAAUAUAAUAAAAGCAUAGCUAAUUAAGGAGGGUCAUAUUCUAUUUCUGUCUAAACAUUGUUUUUGUUUUUUAGGUUAUGGACUAUUUGUUUAUUAUCUGGCUGUAUUUAAAACUCUUUGCUGUUUACUAUUUUUUGUCACAGUAUGAGUGAGCAUAUCUUCAACCAUUGCUUUUCUUUCUUUCUUUCUUUCUUUCUUUCUUUCUUUCUUUCUUUCUUUCUUUCUUUCUUUCUUUCUUUCUUUCUUUCUUUCUUUCUUUGUCAUAUGUUGCCAUAUUGAUUGCUGAUUAUAUAACACACAUUUGUUUUAUUUUCCGGAGAGAUGGAGACAGUGGACAGUCCUUGGCUAUAACCUGCCUAACUGCAGCCCUGAUGCACAAGUGCUGCACUGUGGAAUCAGUAUUCUGAGCUGGUUCCUAUGGACACAGCAUUCUUAAAGCCAGCAACAGCAUCACCAGACUCCAGAGCAGAAAAGGCUCAGCACGCUUUCUCACCUAACCGCUAGAGGGCGAGGGUCGCACCACUUGCACAACUGCAGUACAUCCCACCGUGUACAUGUGAAGAGAGACACAAGGAAAGGUUUGAUGAUCAUCGCGCUGAGAUACAGCUACUAAUUAACUACGGGCUGUUCAUCUGUUCCAUUUAUUCUCACCUGCAGACACAAAGAGGAUUCCUGCACUGAGGAUGAUAUUGUGGCGGGACUUGUAGAACUCGCUGGCAGCUAUACACAGGCCACCCAUGAAGAGCAGGAUGACGCUGAGGAUGGGGAAGAUACUAGACGCUCGCACGGCUCCUACAGAUGGAGAGACAGAGAAGAAGGUGAUUUUAGCAGCUGUUCUCCUCUGAGCACAUUGAAUACAGCCAAUCAACACUUUGCCAGUGGAGUAAACAGCUCCCACACCCUUUAAAAUGCCUGUGGAAGAGCAAUCAGAGGUCAAGAGCCUCACCAAACACUUGUGCCUAACACAAACACUCAUGUACUUGAAGGCUGAACGGGACCAGAGACACCAGGCCAUUUACAAAUGCCUCUAUUUGCACACUUUAACAAAGUAUGUUCACAGUGAGACUUCAACAAGAGUUGGCUUCAUUCAAGCCAUGAAAUGACAAGUGAACGUGUUAAUGAAUGUUUUUAGGACAGUCUGCCAAGCCUUCAACUCACCAAUUAGUUUUUCAACUUGACAUUUGUGCAGCUUAAAGGGAUAGUUCACACAAAAAUUACAACGUUGUCAUCAUUUUCUCCUCUUUGUGUCAUUCUGGAACUGUUUGCCUUCUUCCGUGGAACAUAAAAGGUGAUACUUUGCAGAAUGUUCAAUGCUGUUCUUUCCUAUUCAAUGAAAGCACACUUUUUUUUUUGCACAUUCAAGGCAUUUAUUUUCAUACUAGCCCUGGAAAUCAAACCCAUGAACCCAUUGAUAACACUAUGUUCUACCGGAAAGCUAUAGUGACCCACAAAAAAAAAAGAGGGAAAAAAAGAGAAAAAAAAAGAAAAAAAAAAUCUUUAUAAAAGUGCCAUGGAUGAACCAACCUGUCUGUUUUCCUCAGGUUUUUUUUUUUUUUUAAAUAUAUAUUUCAGGUCUUCUGAAGCUAUAUGCAAUUGCUAUUGUGUGAUCAAUAGUUUGAAAUCAUAGACAUGUUUAACUUAAAGGGGUGAUUGAUUAUGAUUUCACUUUUUUAACUUUAGUUAGUGUGUAAUGUUGCUGUUUGAGCAUAAACAACAUCUGCAAAGUUACGACGUUCAAAGUUCAAUGCAAAGGGAGAUAUUUUCUUUUAAAGAAUUCUCUGUUUAAGGACUACAACAAAUGACUGGUAGGGACUACUCUUUUGGAAAGCAGCCGGGAGCUGUAGCUCAUUUGCAUUUAAAGGAACACACACAAA